ACUGUCACGGCACCUGUGGGCAUGUUAUUCAUCAUGCUAAUACGUUACUAUGAGCAUAUGAUGAGGCUCAAGUUCUACUAGAAGUCAUAUCUCCCACCAUUUUAAUCCUCAAGGCCUAGUGGGAGUUGAAUCUUCCUCCAUUUUGUUAUAAUUACUGUUUUUCAUUG